CUGUUGCUGACCGUGUACAGCAUGAGACGACACACCUCCAAGAUGCACUACAGAGAGGACGAUCUGGUGAAACGCACUUUAUUUGUCAACGGGAUCUCCAAGUAUGCAGAGGAGAAGCACAUCAAGCAACACUUUGAACGACCGGCUCUUCCUGUGUUCCAGAAAUACCUCUUUCUCCUGUAGCCUUGUCUGUCUCUUC